UGAGGAAUAUUGGUCAAUGGGCGGGAGCCUGAACCAGCCAAGCCGCGUGAGGGAAGAAGGCCCUAUGGGUCGUAAACCUCUUUUGUCAGGGAACAAAAGCGAGUAUGUAUACUAGUCUGAGUGUACCUGAAGAAAAAGCAUCGGCUAACUCCGUGCCAGCAGCCGCGGUAAUACGGAGGAUGCGAGUGUUAUCCGGAUUUAUUGGGUUUAAAGGGUGCGUAGGCGGCGAUGCAAGUCAGCGGUAAAAGCCCGGGGCUCAACCCCGGCGAGCCGUUGAAACUGCAGUGCUAGAGAAGGCGAGAGGUACGCGGAAUGCGCAGUGUAGCGGUGAAAUGCUUAGAUAUUGCGCAGAACUCCGAUUGCGAAGGCAGCGUACUGGCGCCUGACUGACGCUGAGGCACGAAAGCGUGGGGAUCGAACAGGAUUAGAUACCC
rnacentral:rRNA from 1 species